GAUGGAGGCGGCGGGUGGGCAGGCCUCGCCGCCCGGCAGGCAGCAGCAGGAGAGGGCAGGUCCACAGCAGCUGCCUUCGGUCAGCUCGUGUCCAGCGCGGAGCACAGAGGAUGGCCUCGUGGAGGCGUAGCCAGAUGAGGCCCAUCAAGUAGGAGCUGGUCUCCCACUCCAAGGCCACGCGGCAGAGGCACGUGGAGCCUCCGUGGAGAUUUCUCACACGGACUGACAGGAGAGCAGGCCCGGCCUACUAGGCCCACGAGGCAGGGCUCCUGAGAGGAAGGUAACCUGGAGGGGAAGAGGGAGGGCGUAGGGGGCGGGACUGAGGGCGGAGGGGGAGGUGAGUGCAAGGUUGCAGACCCCAGAGAGCAGCAGCGGGGACCGAGCCUCAAGCCUUCGCUGCAUGUUGACAAAGUGCUUCUGAGGCUGAGGCCACAUGGCCUCGCUGACGACAGUGCCCAUCACUCUGCUGGUUCUGGAGUCCAAGCUCUCGGCGCCGGGCCCAGGGGCCUCUGCGUUUUGGGGUUAUGCAGCAGCAGGGGAAAAGGCCCAUGGGUCACCCCCAGGAUAGGGCCCUGCCGCUCAGGAGAGCACAGCGCUGGCCUCAUGGUUAGAAGGGCUGACCCAUGUCAGGAGACAGAGGCGGGCACUGGCCAGGUCGAGGUCACAGGGGAGGAAUUCUUGGUGUCCCACAAGCAGCCAGAGGGGCCUAGGGGGCAGGUGGUCAGGACGGGGUUAGGGGGCCAAACCCGCUCCCAAAGAGGAGAGCAGGCUUCAGAGACAGGGUGCCUGUGUGCCGCGUGAGGCUACCCCCUGCCUGGUGCUGGCUCCUUGGGCCCUGGAGACCUCUAGUGGGCACAGAGCUGUCCCUGCACUCUGAGGGAGGCUGGGCUGCAGCCGAGGCAGCAGGGGUGAUGCAGUGCCCAGUGGGCCAAGGCUGCCCCGAGUUAGAGAAACCGCCCCGAAGGCUGGGCCUGAACUCGGGCUGCAGAGAUGCUGGGAUCCCUCUGAUACUCCUAAGCUGUGGUCCUAGGGAACCUAGCACAAGGCAGGCCCAGGCAGGCUGGGCCCCCUGGCGUGACUCUGGAAGAAAACCUUCAGGGCUUUCUGUUCCGCAUGCCCAAGAUCCCAGCAAAGACAAGUGGAACACACUCCAGGCCCCAGCGGGGUCCACCCUCAGAGAGCUGGCAGGGCGUGGGGUGUCUGGAGGGCACACAGGGACCAGAGACAGCCCCUUAGCGACCGUUCCCCAGCCCCCAGGUGCGUCCGCCACACCUCGCAGAGUCUCUGCGUCAAAGCCUCAUGUCCCAUCCCUGCGAGCUGCUGCGAGGCCGCCUGUGCUUCACCCCGUCUCAGUGAGGGGCCACCCCCAAGGCCUGGCCCUGUCCCCAGUGCCCCUUCCCUCAGAGCCCAGCCCCGGUCUGGGCCUGUGCACAGCACAACUGUGGUUCUGUCAAUGCAAGCUCCCUGGGCCCUCCCCAGGCCAGGCCAUGGCCUCAGUGAUGCUGCGGCCCCGGCGGAGCAGGUGGGAGGCAGUGUCUGCCGAGUGAGGGAUGGAUAGACCCUCUGUCCGGGGCGAGUGUCCCGAGUGGUGUGAGGCUCACCGACAGGAAGGCGUGGACGAUGUCUGCUUUGAUGGAGCUCAGCGGCUUGUCCUUGAUGACCACGAAGAUCUGCUCCUCCUUCUCCAGGUUGAUGAAGUUCCCAAACCAGGACUUCUUGGCGAGCCUGGGGGAGGGACGUGGGGCAGAGGGCUGGUUAUGUCAGGGUACACUGUGCCAUCAGCAGAGCGUCUGGGGACAGGCCUGCCCUUCUCUCCCUUCCAGGCCAGAGGCCAGUUCACUGCCCUAACCUGACCUUCUGCCCUGACCCAGCACUGACCCCACCAUCUGGUGAUGACACCCCCUGCCCAGGCCCUGCCCCGAAACCAAAAAGGAAGGAGUUAAAAUUUCCCUGGAUUAGGCCGAAACCAUUGACAUGGGAAACAAAGUGACCAAGUUUCUGAGCUUGUUCUGCAGAACAGCAGGGGGACGCUGACACACGGCAGCUUGUUGACCACAAUCCCGCCCCCAAGCAUCAUGCAGGGGCACCAAGAAGCCAGUGACUGAGUGUAAACGUUCAACAUCACAGACUAAAAUCCACCGCAUGCAACAUGGAAGACAGUUGCACCUGUGCAGAGGCCUCUUAGAACUUCCGCCCCAAGGCCACAUGCUCCCCCUCCCCCACUUGAAACCCCCAAUAAAAACCCCUGCUUGUAGCUUUUCGGGGAGUUCGGGAUUACAGCGUUAGCUGCCCGCUCUCCUUGCUCAGUGCUCUGCAGGAAAAUUCCUACUUUGUUCCACUGCGCCCGGCGUCAGAGAUUGGCUUGCUGUGCGACGGAAAAGCGAACCUGCUUUAGGUUCAGUAACAACCCCACCAUCCUGGCCCCACCCUGCCCCCGCCCCACCCCUGACCCCACCAUCCUUGCCCCUGACCUCACAUCCCUAAUGCUAGUCCCACAGCCCUGGGCCCCACUCCCCCGCCUGCUUGGCCCAGGCAGCACCUGCUGGAAUCCCCCAGGAAGGAGCAGAAAGCCCACCCUGCCCCCAGCCUGCUCCUCUCUGUUGAAGCCGCCAAGGUUGGGGAUAUUUGCUGUGCAGCCAUCUGCCCUUGUCCCAGGGCUGUGUGGGGAGCCGGAGAGGUCGGGGAUAGGGGGGCAGCAGGGGAACCCUGCAGGGUAUGGUGGGGGAGAUGGCACAGAGAAGGGGCAGCCUUGGCCCCCCAGUGCCACCCCCUGUACCCCAUCCUCAGGACCAGUGGCUGCCCGAGCCCAGGUCACUGGAUCGUGGACUCACGUCAGCCCCACGGGCCCAGCUGCUGUGCUAGGCAGGGUGGAGGCUGCAUCCCGGGGAGCCCAAGGCUGGCAGCACCCUCCUGCACAUGGCCUCUCGCCUCACGGGCACCCAGGGCUUCCCUUCCUUGCUCCGUCUGGUCUUGUCACUCUGUCCUGUGUCUGAGCGCCCCCUGAGGUGGAGCCCUUCCUGCUACAGCACGCAGCAGUGUGGGAGACCCCUGGGUGGCCCCGCCGCCCUGCCUCCUGGAUGCCCGUGUGGCCCCCCCUUGGGUGUGGGCAGGGCCUGUGCCUUGCUUCUAACCAGCAUGCAGGAAGGUGACAGGUCACUUCCAAGAUUGGGUUAUAAAGGCUGGGACUUCCAUCUUGCUAGCAGGUCUCCACUGAGUCUUGAAGGAGCCAGCUGACGUGAUGGUGAGGAACCGAGGCCCUCUGUCCAACAGCCAUGAGGACCUGAAUCCUGCCAACACCACCUGAGCUUGGCAGCAGAUCCUGCUCCAGUUGAGCCUUGAGGUGACCACAGCUGGCUGACACCCUAAAGCAGAGGGGCCAGUCGGGCUGCGUCCAGGCCCUGACCCACGAAGACCUCCACCAAUCAAACGCGCCCACUCAAACUGGGAGCUAGUGAUGCAGAGGCAGGGACCUGGGGGGAGGUGCUGCAGCAGCCACGUGCAGUGUCUGCAGCCAGGGCCGGCCUGGUCUCAGGCUCAUGUCUUGCUCCAGCAGCGGUGGCAGGGUGAGCUGUCGGUCUCAUGUCAGCAGAGCUCUCUGGGCUGACUCUCAGGCUGGGUUUGGUGGUUUUCAUGGCCACGCGACUUUCCUUUCUUCUGCCCAUUUCUGGAACUGGGUCUUCGGCCACCAUGGCAAUUCUGGAGCACCAGCCGCCUGCCGACCCAGCACUUCCUGCUCCCACCCGCAAGAGCCGACCUCCGUGCCCCGCCAGGACUCCCAACAGAAGGCAGAGGUCAAGAUAUGCAGAAUCUUCCUCGUGGACCCCACGCCGGUGCUCAGCCACCUCAGCAUCCUUCCCCACAUCCAGCUGCUCUCUGGCCAUCGGCUCUGUAUCCCACACUCCAGGGUAGGCUGCUACCCCAGCCUGCUCACCGCUGGACCCCAGCACCUGUCCCAGGGCCUGGAGCCCAGGAGGUGCUCAGGGAAGUGGUUCCGGAACCUGCUUCUCCCUUGAUGAAAAAGAUGGAAGAAUAACAAUGGAAUCUGACUUUUGUACUUUGGAACCCAGGGGUUGGCAUCUGACAAAAUAGUCCAUGUCUGAAAGAAGCCUGGAUGAGCUGGCAAGGCCAGCGGAGGGAGAUGGUGAUGGGCCCGUGAUGGUUAACUUGAGGGUCAGCUUGGCUUGCCUGGUCAAACAUUGGGUGUUGCUUAUUAAAAGAUAUUUUUUAGA